rnacentral:rRNA from 1 species
AGCAGCCGCGGUAAUUCCAGCUCCAAUAGCGUAUAUUAAAGUUGUUGCAGUUAAAAAGCUCGUAGUUGAAUUUCGGGAUUGACACAUCGGUCGUGCCUUAAGGGGUAUGAACUGGUGUAGUCAAUUUCUCACCUUCUGGAGAACCGCGAUGCCCUUAAUUGGGUGUCGCGGGGAACCGGGACCUUUACUUUGAAAAAAUUAGAGUGUUUAAAGCAGGCAUUUUGCUUGAAUACAUUAGCAUGGAAUAAUAAAAUAGGACGGCAUGAUUCUAUUUUGUUGGUUUCUAGGAUCACCGUAAUGAUUAAUAGGGAUAGUUGGGGGCAUUAGUAUUCAAUUGUCAGAGGUGAAAUUCUUGGAUUUAUUGAAGACUAACUACUGCGAAAGCAUUUGCCAAGGAUGUUUUCAUUAAUCAAGAACGAAAGUUAGGGGAUCGAAGACGAUCAGAUACCGUCGUAGUCUUAACCAUAAACUACGCCGACUAGGAAUCAG